rnacentral:piRNA from 1 species
UCUCCAGUUCCCAACAAGUUCCUCAUC